UUCUGCUGCUGGGGGGGUCGGGACCCCCCCCCCAGCAGCAGAGCGCUGCUGCUGGGGGGGGGGUCCCGACCCCCCCAGCAGCAGAA
rnacentral:pre_miRNA from 12 species